CCAACGGGACAGACCUGUUUGUGUUGGCGGUCGUCUUGGAACAACGUUUAGAUUGCCAAAGAUCCCAUGACUCUUCGCUUUUGACUCGAGAGUGAAGAUGUUGGUGAGAUCUGGGCGUGUUCAAUGUUGAGCACAUGCAUCACAAUCUUUGAUCAAUUUAUCGAUUACGUUUGUUCUUGUAACGUUUAUGGUUUAUUUAAAGUUGUUUUGUAAGUGUAGAAUUUGAUAUUGAAAUUCUUUUCGCUUUAUGUAUCUCUUCCAACGUGCAUUCAUAUUCCCUUUAUUAAAGCCACGUGAUUUGUCUUGA